rnacentral:tRNA from 1 species
GCCGAGGUGGUGGAAUUGGCAGACACGCUACCUUGAGGUGGUAGUGGGCUUUACGGCCUGUGCAGGUUCAAGUCCUGUCCUCGGCACCA